GCAUUGGUCGUUCAGUGGUAGAAUUCCCAACUCCCAUGUGGUAGAGCUGGGUUUGAUUCCUGGCCAAUGCA
rnacentral:tRNA from 1 species